rnacentral:miRNA from 1 species
GCAUAGACACAUCUGUAUAAUUUGUGUAAAUGAGUAUAUAUGCAUAUAAAUAAAUAUACGUGUGCAUAUGUGUAUAUACACACACACACAUAAAUAUCU